rnacentral:rRNA from 1 species
CAGCCGCCACGGUAACACGUAGGUGGCAAGCGUUGUCCGGAAUUAUUGGGCGUAAAGGGCUCGCAGGCGGUUUCUUAAGUCUGAUGUGAAAGCCCCCGGCUCAACCGGGGAGGGUCAUUGGAAACUGGAAAACUUGAGUGCAGAAGAGGAGAGUGGAAUUCCACGUGUAGCGGUGAAAUGCGUAGAGAUGUGGAGGAACACCAGUGGCGAAGGCGACUCUCUGGUCUGUAACUGACGCUGAGGAGCGAAAGCGUGGGGAGCGAACAGGAUUAGAUACCCCCGUAGUCCCUGUCUCUUAUAC